rnacentral:rRNA from 1 species
AGUUAUGAAAUGUAGGUGCGAUAAUACCGUGCCUAUUUGACAAAGGCUCCAAAGGAAGCCACGGCUAACUCUGUGCCAGCAGCCGCGGUAAUACAGGGGUGGCAAGCGUUGUUCGGAAUUAUUGGGCGUAAAGAGCACGUAGGUGGAUUUGUUAGUCAGAUGUGAAAGCCUUUUGUUCAACGGAAGAAUUGCAUCUGAAACUACAAACCUUGAGUAUAGGAGGGGAGAGUGGAACUUCUGGU